UACAGAGGUCUCAAGCGUUGUUCGGAUUCAUUGGGCGUAAAGGGUGCGUAGGUGGCGCUGUAAGUCGGGUGUGAAAUUUCGGAGCUUAACUCCGAAACUGCAUUCGAUACUGCGGUGCUUGAGGACUUGAGAGGAGACUGGAAUUCAUGGUGUAGCAGUGAAAUGCGUAGAGAUCAUGAGGAAGACCAGUGGCGAAGGCGGGUCUCUGGACAGUUCCUGACACUGAGGCACGAAGGCCAGGGGAGCAAACGGG
rnacentral:rRNA from 1 species